rnacentral:rRNA from 1 species
CCUACGGGGUGCAGCAGUGGGGGAUAUUGGACAAUGGGGGGAACCCUGAUCCAGCGACGCCGCGUGAGUGAAGAAGGCUUUCGGGUUGUAAACUUCUUUUAAGAGGGAAGAGCAGAAGACGGUACCUCUUGAAUAAGCCACGGCUAACUACGUGCCAGCAGCCGCGGUAAUACGUAGGUGGCAAGCGGUGUCCGGAUUUACGGGGGUAAAGGGCGUGCAGCCGGGAAGACAAGUCAGAUGUGAAAUCCCGCGGCUCAACCGCGGAACUGCAUUUGAAACUGUUUUUCUUGAGUACCGGAGAGGUCAUCGGAAUUCCUUGUGUAGCGGUGAAAUGCGUAGAUAUAAGGAAGAACACCAGUGGCGAAGGCGGAUGACUGGACGGCAACUGACGGUGAGGCGCGAAAGCGUGGGGAGCAAACAGGAUUAGAUACCCUAGUAGUC